rnacentral:rRNA from 1 species
CUAGCUACAGGCUUAACACAUGCAAGUCGAGGGGCAUCAGGAAGAAAGCUUGCUUUCUUUGCUGGCGACCGGCGCACGGGUGAGUAACACGUAUCCAACCUGCCCUUUACUCGGGGAUAGCCUUUCGAAAGAAAGAUUAAUACCCGAUAGCAUAAUGAUUCCGCAUGGUUUCAUUAUUAAAGGAUUCCGGUAGAGGAUGGGGAUGCGUUCCAUUAGGUUGUUGGUGAGGUAACGGCUCACCAAGCCUUCGAUGGAUAGGGGUUCUGAGAGGAAGGUCCCCCACAUUGGAACUGAGACACGGUCCAAACUCCUACGGGAGGCAGCAGUGAGGAAUAUUGGUCAAUGGGCGCUAGCCUGAACCAGCCAAGUAGCGUGAAGGAUGAAGGCUCUAUGGGUCGUAAACUUCUUUUAUAUAAGAAUAAAGUGCAGUAUGUAUACUGUUUUGUAUGUAUUAUAUGAAUAAGGAUCGGCUAACUCCGUGCCAGCAGCCGCGGUAAUACGGAGGAUCCGAGCGUUAUCCGGAUUUAUUGGGUUUAAAGGGAGCGUAGGUGGACUGGUAAGUCAGUUGUGAAAGUUUGCGGCUCAACCGUAAAAUUGCAGUUGAUACUGUCAGUCUUGAGUACAGUAGAGGUGGGCGGAAUUCGUGGUGUAGCGGUGAAAUGCUUAGAUAUCACGAAGAACUCCGAUUGCGAAGGCAGCUCACUGGACUGCAACUGACACUGAUGCUCGAAAGUGUGGGUAUCAAACAGGAUUAGAUACCCUGGUAGUCCACACAGUAAACGAUGAAUACUCGCUGUUUGCGAUAUACAGUAAGCGGCCAAGCGAAAGCAUUAAGUAUUCCACCUGGGGAGUACGCCGGCAACGGUGAAACUCAAAGGAAUUGACGGGGGCCCGCACAAGCGGAGGAACAUGUGGUUUAAUUCGAUGAUACGCGAGGAACCUUACCCGGGCUUAAAUUGCAGUGGAAUGAUGUGGAAACAUGUCAGUGAGCAAUCACCGCUGUGAAGGUGCUGCAUGGUUGUCGUCAGCUCGUGCCGUGAGGUGUCGGCUUAAGUGCCAUAACGAGCGCAACCCUUAUCUUUAGUUACUAACAGGUUAUGCUGAGGACUCUAGAGAGACUGCCGUCGUAAGAUGUGAGGAAGGUGGGGAUGACGUCAAAUCAGCACGGCCCUUACGUCCGGGGCUACACACGUGUUACAAUGGGGGGUACAGAAGGCCGCUACCUGGUGACAGGAUGCCAAUCCCAAAAACCUCUCUCAGUUCGGAUCGAAGUCUGCAACCCGACUUCGUGAAGCUGGAUUCGCUAGUAAUCGCGCAUCAGCCAUGGCGCGGUGAAUACGUUCCCGGGCCUUGUACACACCGCCCGUCAAGCCAUGAAAGCCAGGGGUACCUGAAGUACGUAACCGCAAGGAGCGUCCUAGGGUAAAACUGGUAAUUGGGGCUAAGUAA